AGAGUUUGAUCAUGGCUCAGAUUGAACGCUGGCGGCAUGCUUUACACAUGCAAGUCGAACGGCAGCGCGGGCUUCGGCCUGGCGGCGAGUGGCGAACGGGUGAGUAAUAUAUCGGAACGUACCCAAGAGUGGGGGAUAACGUAGCGAAAGUUACGCUAAUACCGCAUACGAUCUAAGGAUGAAAGCAGGGGAUCGCAAGACCUUGUGCUCCUGGAGCGGCCGAUAUCUGAUUAGCUAGUUGGUGGGGUAAAGGCCCACCAAGGCAACGAUCAGUAGCUGGUCUGAGAGGACGACCAGCCACACUGGAACUGAGACACGGUCCAGACUCCUACGGGAGGCAGCAGUGGGAAUUUUGGACAAUGGGGGCAACCCUGAUCCAGCAAUGCCGCGUGAGUGAAGAAGGCCUUCGGGUUGUAAAGCUCUUUUGUCAGGGAAGAAAAGGUCGUGGCUAAUAUCCACGACUGCUGACGGUACCUGAAGAAUAAGCACCGGCUAACUACGUG
rnacentral:rRNA from 1 species